UAAAAAAAAUUUAUUUCUUACCAUUAGUAAGUUACCAAUUUUAUAGGGAAGUAUGAGUGGCAGAGCAUGCCCUUUGGGCAGCUACCAGCCCAGGAAAGGACAACAGAAAUGCGAGAUGUGCCCUGCUGGUUUCUCCUGCCCUCAUGAAGGUAUGACACACACAGUCCCAUGCAAGCCGGGGUUUUAUUGUCCAGCAUGGUCUGCUAUUGACAAGCCAUGUCCAGCGGGGACUUAUGGAAACCAGUCUGGGUUAACUGAACUAUCCGAGUGCACUUUGUGUGAUCCAGGCUCAUACUGUGCAGGAGCAGGUAACGUUUCACCCACUGGUCUGUGUAUGGCCGGCUUCUUGUGUUUUGGAGGAGCUUCUCUGCCAUCUCCUGUAGACAAUGUGACAGGAAUGCAAUGUCCACCUGGAUUCUACUGUCUCACUGGGAGCUUUACUGCAACACCCUGCCCCAAAGGCACUUUCAGGGCUGUUCCAGGAUCUGAAAGGCCAAAGAGAGUGUAAACCUUGUCCUCCUGGAUUCUACUGCCCCGCAUCCACCCAGAAAUCUAAUGUCAGCAGCACUCCAUUGAUCUGUCCAGAGGGCUAUUAUUGUCCUAAUGAAACACGGCUAGGCAGGCCUGUCCCUUGCCCCAGAGGCACAUACAGUAAUACCCGAGGCCUUUCAGCAGAUGAGUGCGUGGUCUGUCCAGUGGGCUAUUUCUGUGGUGCACAUGCACUUGUCCAGCCAUCUGGGCCGUGUGCCCCUGGAUUCCUCUGCUUUUUGCGUGCCACAGUUCCCAACCCCAGUGACAACAAAACAGGAGCUCUUUGUCCACCAGGGGCAUACUGCCAGCUGGGAGUCAGAACUGGUGACUGUUCUCCAGGCUACUACUGUGACUGGGGAUCUAGUAGCCCAGAAGAGAGACUCUGCCCAGCAGGUUUUUAUUGCCUAGCUGGCACAGACAAACCCAUUGCCUGUGGCCCAGGGACAUUCAGCUCAGUCAUGGGGAACAGUGACAGAGAAAACUGUGAACCAUGCCCAGCAGGCUACUUCUGUCAGGGGGAUGGAGUGGUGGUACCGGUUGCUUGUCCCCAGGGGUUUUAUUGCCCUCCUGGAACUGUGAUGGGCACAGAGUUCCCCUGCCCUCAAGGGACAGUGCAACCACAAAUUGGAGCCUCUACUGAAGGGGAUUGCUUACCAUGCCCUUCAGGUAUGUUCUGUGCCCUGCCUGGGCUUUCUGAGCCUACGGGGCACUGUCAGGAGGGCUAUUAUUGUCCUCCGGGAACUAUCAACCCUAAUGCUACUGGAUACAAGAUGAACUCUACUGGAAAUAACAUGUGCCCUCCUGGUCACUACUGCCCCGCUGGCACUAGCUACCCUCUACCAUGCCCUCCUGGAUCAUUCUCAAGCUCUCCAGGGUUAAGCAUUGUAGAGAAGUGCCAGUCCUGCCCACCAGGCUACUUCUGUGAGCAUCCUGCAAUGGUCAGCGCCUUUGAUGCUUUGCUCUGUGAUGCUGGGUAUGUAUGCCUUGGAGGUAGUCGCAGUUCACGCCCAGUUGAUGGACUGGAGGGUUAUAUUUGUCCCAGUGGCUACAGUUGCCCCAUUGGUACCCCAGUGGAAAUGCCAUGUGAGCCUG
ensembl:lncRNA